rnacentral:lncRNA from 1 species
GUAAGAGUAUAUAUCUCUGUUAGAACUUGAACUAAGAAGUAUUAGUAUUUUUGUGACUCUUUCUGUAUAAUGGCAAUGCAGCUUUGAGUACCUGUAGCCUGCUAUAAAUGAUGAUAGGCCAAACUAAUGCAGCCAAGUUUCUUGACCAGGAUAUAAUGUGUCUGGGCUACUGUAGUUGUUUGGAUUUACUUUGGAGUUAAGGAAAAAUAAAAGAUUAUGACUGAGAAAGGGAAAGGGAAUUAAGAUUUGUUGCACUUGCUUAUAGGGAAAUCUUAUUCAGUCUGUGGAUUAGCCAGUUCUUGAUCAUAAAACUAGACUGUAUAACAUUCCUGUAAAUGAGAGUGCUGUUGGGAGGAAUGGAUUAAAAGCAGAAGACUGGUGAGGAGGAUUGUAAAUACACUCAAGUGACCUUGCAGCUGGGAAUGCGUAAAGUCUGGGGAGCAGCAAUGUAGAAAAACAUAUAAAUUAUGUCUGCUGCUGUUUGUGCUCUUUGUGUUUGGCAAGUAGCACAUCUGUGCAUAGAUAAUGUAGGUGUUUGGUGGACUUGGAGGUGCCCUAUCAGAUGUGCUUAUGCUCCCAGCCUUGGUACAGAGAUCAAAGAAGCACAGUGAGAAUCAUGGUGUAGUGGUAAAAACUGUGCCUGUGUGAACUCUUGAUAAAAACAGGUGAAACUAGCAGGCCGGUGAUCUCCUAGCAUGGACCCAGUUUAGCGGUUCCUGCAUUCCCACUUGUGUGCCUGUGCUCCUGUACCUUUUCUUGGGCGCUGCUUCAGGAAUCCCCCAGUUGGCAAGGUAAUGAGAAUAAAUCUACUCUUUGCAUUUUAGCUGCAAGUCUGUGAGUGUUCCUGAUGCCUGCCUGUGCUGACUCACACAAGUGCCUUUUGAAUUACAAGACAAUAUUUCACCUUUCCAGAAGUUUCUAUUUGACUGAAAUUGUAGCAGCCAGGAAAAGACAAAUAAGCAUCUUUCUCACUUUGCUGUACAAUCACCCCUUUUUGAAGAAAUAUAAUAUAACAUGGUGUAACAGGAGGAUAACUUCAAGCAAUUGA